rnacentral:rRNA from 1 species
AUACGUAGGGGGCGAGCGUUGUCCGGAAUGAUUGGGCGUAAAGGGCGCGUAGGCGGCCCGGUAAGUCUGGAGUGAAAGUCCUGUUUUUAAGAUGGGAAUUGCCUUGGAUACUGUCGGGCUUGAGUGCAGGAGAGGUAAGUGGAAUUCCCAGUGUAGCGGUGAAAUGCGUAGAGAUUGGGAGGAACACCAGUGGCGAAGGCGACUUACUGGACUGUAACUGACGCUGAGGCGCGAAAGUGUGGGGAGCAAACAGGAUUAGAUACCCUGGUAGUCCACACUGUAAACGAUGAAUGCUAGGUGUAGGGGGUAUCGACCCCUUCUGUGCCGCAGUCAACACAAUAAGCAUUCCGCCUGGGGAGUACGGCCGCAAGGUUGAAACUCAAAUGAAUUGACGGGG